UUUAAGUGCAUCUAGCAGCCCUGACAGUCCUUGCAACGUGCACUUCCGUGCAGAAUAAAGUGCCCUGUAUUGUGAUCAUAUGUCCCCGAUAUCCGGUUUAGUUUGCCCUAGAUACGUGGCUUGCGAGUGUUGUGGCGUUUUAUUUCCUAACCAGAUUGUUUUGCACGAAAGUUAUAAAGCUCGUCGGCGCGCAUCCUUUGCUUGCUUCAGAGACGGUCUCUGACAUUCUCACACUGUGACCACUGGCCGAUGGCCACGCGUGACAUGUAACUUUCGCUUGCAACUGAAGGGAAGCUUUACAAUAUUCCUAUAGGGAACUGAAAUCAGAACGUCUCUCCAACAAAAUGACUAACAAAACACGAAAUAAAUCUCUUGAAAAUCCAA